UACGAAAGGGGGUAGAGCUGUUCGGCGUUACUGGGCGAAAAGCGCACGUAGGCGGCUUGGUAAGUUGGGGGUGAAAUCCCAGGGCUCAACCCUGGAACUGCCUCCAAAACUGCUAGGCUAGAGGAUGCGAGAGGUUGGCGGAAUUCCGAGUGUAGAGGUGAAAUUCGUAGAUAUUCGGAAGAACACCAGUGGCGAAGGCGGCCAACUGGCGCAUUUCUGACGCUGAGGUGCGAAAGCGUGGGGAGCAAACAGG
rnacentral:rRNA from 1 species